rnacentral:lncRNA from 1 species
AUUCUAGGGCAGGGAUCUCCUAGAAUGAUGGUCCAAUUGGUGGGUACUUAUUGGAGGUACCAAUUUGCUUAAAAUAUUUCUCAUAAAGAUUUCUUACAAUGUUUCUUAAAAUGUUAUUUGAUCUUCUUAAAUUGGAGGUACCAAUUUGCUUCACUCAUUUUCAUUUAAUUAGUUUUUAUUACUUUUUGUCAUAUAUUUUAGUUCAGUUUUUGCAGAAUCUGUGGAUGAUCUCAAAGUACUGGAGAGAUCUCCAAAUAUCUAUUCCAAGGUAAAAGUUUUAAUUUGUCUUUUUUAAAUGCUAUUUGCUCUUAAUUCCUAUAUAUGCCUUUUUGAUUUAAUAUUUUUUUCUUCAUAUUAUGCAACUGUUAGUUUGUCAACAGAGCUCGAUUAUGAUGGAGGUGGUGUCACAUUUUGUUAGUUUGUGUUGUAUGUUAACUUUGUGUUUGACUACAAAGCUUAUCUUUCAUAGUUCGUUUUGUGAAUAGGAACCACCUAUUGGCUGAGUAAGAAGCAGAGGUGGUGGGGGAGAUGGAGGCCUAGAGGUGGCCCAACUGGUAUUAUGGCUAAAACCUUUGUUUUAUUAUUCUUUUGACCUGUACUAAGGGCUUUGAGCAACAUUAUUGGUAUCCUUUCUUUUUCCUCAUUAUAUCUUGUGUUCUAUAGCCUUCAAACUUUGUAUAGAGAACUAUUAUUUAAUUUAAGAUCUUUUUGUUUGCAGGGAGUUGGGCUCAGUAUAGCAAUAAGCUUUUCAGUGUACUGAGACUUUGAGAGUUUCCUAGCUCUCUUGCUGGUAAGGGAAACUGAGAUGAUUUUACUUGUGGGCAUCCUUUUGUAUAUAAAUGUGUUGUACGAUUCUUUAUUUUUUACUACUCUUGAUUAUUCUACUGUAUUGGUGAGCCUUGCUUGUGGUAAUCUUUCUGGCAAUGCAUCAUCAACAAGUGGGAAACUUAUAAUGGUAUGGAGUUAUAAUAUAUUACAACUUGAAACAUUUCUGUUUUAUUAUUAUUAGUUCAGUUGAAGGUAGGCUUAGCAUGCUAAAUGAUUACGAUAUUUUGCUUGCUGGGCAUUUUGUUUUCUUGAGUUGGUUAUGUCUAGAUAUGUAAAAUAUGGUUGUUUAGUUUGUAUGGAAAUUUGGCAAAUUUCUUCAGCAUAAGUUUGCUUCCAUUUCUACAUCUUUCAUCUUUUUGCUUUCUCUUUUUGCAUCUACGGUUUGCCUCUCUUGACAACUUCUUGCUUUUCCUUCUUUCUUUUUUAUAUCUUCAGCUUCUAAGUUUGAGCGGCAUGUUGGUCGCAAGACGAAGCACCCUAACAACCAGAUAUACUUCGUGAAUGGCAAGAUCCAUCAGAUAGUUUAGGAGUUGAGAAGAACCCCAUAGAGUAUGCUAUUAGAUGCAAUCCAGAUUGUGUUUGGCUCUCCUAUAAAUCAAAAGGCCUUCUACACUUGGGAAGGUAUUGAAACUCUCACAUGCUACUUCUCUACUGAAAGUUAUAUGUUGCUCAUUGCUUUAUGUUUUCAUUGUUAUAGAAUCAUUUGGAGACCCGCAAGCUUCAGCGUAUAUAUGGGAAGGAAGAGCUAAACAUAUGAGUAAGAGUACUUUUUCAUAAAGGCAGCCGGUCUUGGGAGCAGGCUGGUAUAGUGGCUCAUUUUAUGUGGAGCCCAAGUACUGUAAUACUGUACAUGCAUUUGCUAAGUUGAGAUUUAUGUAUAUUUUGUGUGGUAGGAGCUUAAGAGAUUGGUUGUGCAUAUGCAGCAAGCAAUGUAAAUUUUUUGACCAACAUCAUUAUGAGGAAUAGAUUUCUUAUGUCUGGCUAUAACUAUAAUCAUUUGCUGAUUGAAUUAGAAUAUAUGAAUUUCUUACUUGUGUUCCUAUUUUGACUAAGUCUUGAUUUAUAUUAAUAGCA